UUCCUUAUCUUCUAUUCCCCCAACAACUUCACUCCGAAGGAAUCACAUAUUCUUAAGCGAGAAGAUCAGACUCUUAUUAUUGAAUUUUCAUUGUUUGCACGUAAUAGCUCAUUCUCUCUAUUUUUUUAUGCUCAAUCUUUCUUUAAUUUGUCGCAGACUCUUCCCCACGCCUAUUUCUUCCACCAGCCCUGUAGUGGAGCUUGCCCUCCGCCCUAGGCCAAUUGAUAUCUUACCCUGUGUGGGUAAAUUUGGGCUCAGGAG
rnacentral:lncRNA from 1 species